UUUUAAAAAUAAUUAUUUAUGUAAAUAAUUCAUAGCAGAGUUUUCAGUAUUUGAAAUAUAAAUUCUUAUAAUAGGAAUUUUACAAGACCAUUAAUUUUAGCAGGGCUGGGAAACACAACUAUAAUUUAGGAGCUAUUGUUGAUUGUUUCUAGAAAUAGAUAUUGACCCCAUUAGUUUUAAGUGAUAACAUUACUAAGCCAAGUAUUAAUCCAACAAUACCAGAAUUACUGAUUUUAAUCAGCAUUUUUAUUCAAAACCUUCCUUUAGCACUUAAAUUUCACUUAGCUUGUCAUACAUAAAUAUAAGUGUAAAAUUUCAAUAAAUUAUCUUAGAAUUCUCAUUUUUAAAGUUAUUACAAAAUUAAUGCCUGCAGAAGCUCCAGUGCCUAAAGUCUUUUGUUUGUUACAGUCACUUUAGUAUGCAUUUUGGCUCUGGUGGAAAAGAUGCCACCCUCUCAGACAUUGUUUCAUUAAUCAAGAGGGUAUCCUCGGGGUCCAGAGAAGCCUCGUGGCGCAAUAAUCAAUCCCUGUGUCAUUUAGUUGUUAUGAAAUUCUCUCAAGGAGAGGAAGUCAUCAUCAUCAACAAUAGCAACAACAAGCAUAGCAGCUAACAUUUACUGGGUCCUCACUAUGUGCCUCACUAUGUGCCAGGUAUGGUUCCUUGACAUGUAUCAACAUAUUUAGUCCUCACAACCAAUGAAAUGGUUUGGAAAAUGAUUUUGUGAAGUUUGUUAACUGCAUUUACAACUGUUAAAUAUUUUCACAUACAGCAUGUAUGUCUCCAUUUGUAUUCUUGUUUUGAGACCCAUAGAUGCUAGGGCAGGGGGUGCUUAAUGAAGUCUACUCACAAACAAAUCUGCUGUCACCAACAAGAGUAUAAUUUGUGUUCAUUUUGGAGAGGUUAGAUUAACACUAAUUUUGGAGUUUAAAACCACCUCAGUCCAUCAGAGAUGUCAGGCUUUGUUGACGAUGCAUAAUUCCACAAGCACCUGAUGAAAGAGACAAAGUAUCUCAGAGACGGGUCUUAAGGCUGGGUGUCUGGGAGGUAACUAAAAGUAUAUAUGUGUUGCAAAUAUUAAGUGGUAAAAGAAUAAUGUGACGAUGGGCUGUUCAUAUUCAAAUCUGAAUUUAGCUAUUGUUUGGCAACAAAUGCUUAAACACCACCCCAAGAAGAGCCCAAAGAAAAACCUUCCCUUUUUUGCUUAUUCAGUUUUUUAAUUCUACACUUAAAAGUAGAGACAACAGCAAAAUCAAUGAUAUUUUGGGGGUUACUAUAUAAAACCAUUUAAGUUCAUUUGAUGAACAUUCAUUAAAGCUCUGGGAACUUAACUCAAUGGUAAACUGGUCUUGCUCAACUAUUUACUUAAAACUCCUUUGGUGUUUGUCUUGAUGAUAAACGAUUGUCUCCAUCUAAGCCUUCUUUUCCCUUAUACCUGAAUCUUAAUAAGCACCUUUAAAGAUCCUAAGACAGUCUUUGCUGUAACUAUUGCAUAUUUUGGAACCCAGAACAUUUAAACGUAUGGAUGAGUUGAGAAGCACUUGUGAACUAUUCAGUAUUUUGCAAUUUUAACACAAAUUUCUCAGAAUAAAAGCACUAAGUUAGCAGGAUAAUAUUACCAGAUGUAUUUACUUGGUGCUUCUGAGACUUUGGUAUUUUAUGGGUUAAUAAUUAACUUUUGGUAAUUAUUGGGCUUCUUUCCAAUUUACUGAUGGACAAUGGUGUUAUUAGGAUAACUGCUACCUGCUGUAACAAACAAACUCCACCCUAGAUAAUUGAUCAAAUAGAAUAGAAUGUUACUUUUCACUCUUACAAAGUCCAGCAUGGGCAUUGCUGAUUGCAGGCAGCUUUCCUGUGGGCAGUCAAUCAGGGACCCCCAGAGUCUUCCCAGAGGAUGGACCCAGCAUCUUUAACAUGUGGCUUCUAAGGUCUCUGGGUACAUCUGCAUCAAGCCAGUGAAAGAAGCAUGAAGAAGAGGAGGGGCACAAUUGGACUGGAAGCGACACACAUCACUUCUGCUUAUGUUUUAUUGGCAAAAAUGUGAUUCACCGUUUAAAAGCAAGGGGAGAGGGCUGGGAAGUAUAGAAUCUAAGGGACAGCACUUCUGAGCGAUAAGUGUGUACUAUGGAAGGGAAACCACACAUAUUUGGUAUGGUUAUCAUCAUCUGAAGGCAAUCCAGAAAUAUCAGUGAUUACCCCCAAAGAACCCUGGGCUGGUGCACUGACCAGUGACUGAAGAGUCAACUCCCCUAACAUCCAGCCUAAGUUAAGGCUCUAGGUACUACAUCGCUGGUUUCCAGCCAGUGGGACUCUACAUUCAAACAAGUGGCCUCUACUUAGAAAUCAGAGGGAAAUUUAAUCGAAUACUAAGCUAAUGAGAAGGAAUUUAAUCAUAACAAAAUAAUAACCCACAUUUAUUAGCAUUCACUAUGUUUUGGGCAUUGUUCUAAGCACUUUACAUAUGUUAGUUUAAUUAAUACUCCAGAUGACGCUAAAGGCAAUUAUUCUUAUUUGGCCCAGUUUACAGUUGGGAGACUGAGGCACAGGGAAGGGAGUAAAUUCCCCAAAGCUAUAUGGUAAACAUCAAUUAGAAUCUAAAUUCAAAUCUAGACAAUCUAAUUCUAUUAGACUAUCUUAUCUCCCAUGAAAGAUAGAAAAAUACCAUUUGAAAAGAAAGGGGAAAAUGGGGAAGAACAGUUUCUUCCUGAAAGAAACUUCCUCUAAUUAGACUUUGCUUAGGUUACACCUUAUAAUUUUGUACAAUUCACUCCCAGCCUGCAGACUUCUGUCCUUUUCUCCACAGGAUGUUUUCUACCUUGUGCAUGUCAUGUGGGUUCAGCAAAGGACUGAAUUUUAAAAUGACCUCUAACCUCAAGGAAUUUGGAUUCUGUUGAGGAGGAAAGAGAUUCUAAAAUAAUAGAAAAGGACAGUCAAUAUUAAAGGACAAAUAAAAGGCAGGCGAUAGGAUUUCCAGGAAGGGUGGGAAUUUUCAAGAAAGAGUUUAUGAAGGAUGAAGGUUUUAACUGGUCCUUAAUAAAUGGGCAGAAUUUCAUGAAUAGAAAAGUACAGAAGACUUCAAAGGAGAAGGAUGAUGGGAACAAAGAUUUGGGUGGAUAAAGGCAGUAUUUGUAGCAGCAUGGCUGUAAUAGAAGGCAAUUUUGGGAAUUUGUGAGAGUUAUAUCUUUAACCACUUUUGCUUUAGAACUUAUUUUUGCAUAUAUUUUUAAUUCAAUGUAACCAUCUGGUAAGACCUGGCACUCGAUGAUUUGUUGCAGUAGUAGUGUUUAUCUAAGGAGCUACGUAUGUAGGCACAGGAAAAUGAAUACUGGGUUCUGGGAACAAAGACUGGGGAGGGAUUUCCAAACAAAUGCCACCUUCUACUCAUUUCAACAAGUGUGAGAGUUAAGGAAUGUGCUUCACUGCCAUUACAUUUCUGGGUCCCCAGAGCUUCUUACAGAGAACCUAACCAAGACCUUGGGGUAUUCAGCCUGUCCUGCUUCUAAGUACUUUUAGAGUAACUGACCAUUCUUAUGUACCUAUGUCACUUCUCAACUCUGCUUUCUCAUGCAGCGAACACUUCAUUCCUCCUUCAAAUCAAGGGAUGAGCCCCUGGAGGACACUAAGCGAGUUCUGAAUUCUCUGAGGAGCCACCUCUGACUAUGACUGUUCUUCUUUGUCAAUCACAGAGCACUUCCAGUGCCAUCAUUGCUGUUUUCAGUAUUAUGUUGUUGCUGUAGGCAACAUGAAACUGACAAGGGAUGGCACGGAGAAGAGCUGAAAGGGCACUUCUGUUUUUUUGAUGCAUCUGACACCUGUAGUUACAAGAAAGAAAACAGCUUUCUUAAGCAUAUUGCUGGGUGACGUAGAAGGUGAAAGAUGAUUUAGAAAUAGCUUUUCAAUGCAACAGCACAAUAGAAUCUAAACUGCUUCUGUGUACUUCCAUCCUGAGAGUAUCUUCCUAAGUAGAAGCAAUAUGGUCAGGUAGUUUCCUAGGAGUCUCUGGAUAGAGUUAGGCUUCAGUGAAGACCCAGUCUAACCCUUAGAAUUUAAGUAUGUACUAGUAAAACUGUCUUACCAGUACUUACUUUUAUAUAUCAGGCUCAUUAUGAUGAAUGCAAGAAGCAUGGUGAGAAAAGCUUAUCAUCAGUCUUACUCACAAGCACUGGAGGAGAAAGAAAGAGAAAAUCCUCCUUGUAACCUUUUGCAUGUCUCCUAAACCAUGGCAAGAAAGAAAAACUAUGAUUGUUGAAAUAGAGGUUUACAUCCCAGGCUAGGACAAAUAUUCAGCAUAGAGCCUCAACAUUUCAUAUAUAUGCAUUUAAGUAAUAAUAAUAAAUACAAAAAAAGUCCACAACACAUAGGACUAUAAUUGAGGACUAAUUAGGUGCCAAUUUCUAGGCCAUAUGUUUUGCAAUGCAGUAUCUCAUCUAAUUUUAGUGAGAAAGGUACUAUGCACAAUUGUUAUCUCCCCUUUACAAAUGAGAAAAUUAAGGCAUAGAGAAAUUAAGUAGCUAUCCAGAGUUGGGCAACUAAUGACACAGGACUUCUUAUUCUUCCCCACAGGAGCCCUGCAUUUUAGAAAGAUUUCUCUUUGCAUUGUCUCACAUAGAAGCAUCUUAUUUCUACCUUUUACUCUACCACUCCUGUACAUUCUUAUAUAGCUUUGUAGAUUACCAUUUUUAUUCUUAAAUUAUUGCACUGUGUUCACAGGUAUAAUUAUCUCCAAUUGGAGGGGAGUCUCCCAUAUUCCCUGGCAGAUAUCUGGUUAUUAAUUGCUUAAAAAUAGAUAACUAGGGCUUCCCUGGUGACGCAGUGGUUGAGAGUCCGCCUGCCAAUGCAGGGGACACGGGUUCGUGCCCCGGUCCGGGAAGAUCCCACACGCCACGGAGCGGCUGGGCCCGUGAGCCAUGGCCGCUGAGCCUGCGCGUCCGGAGCCUGUGCUCCGCAACGGGAGAGGCCACAACACUGAGAGGCCCGCGUACUGCAAAAAAAACAAAACAAACAAACAAACAAACAAAAAAGAUAACUGGAGUUGAUUUGUUCUCUAUCACUUCUGUCUAUAGAUCGUACCAUCCACAUGUAUAUUAUUAUACGGAUAUUGGUACUUCAGUCUCAGCUAUGAAUUUCCAUGUGGAAGGAUUAGUAAAAAGGUAAUAUUAGGAUUCCACCUCAAAUGGAUGUAAUCCCUAGUUAGCAUCUUAAAAUACUUAAACUCCUUAUUAUCCCCUUAGCACACCAUGGUAUUGACAGAACUUUGUUUUACCUUAUCAUUAUAACAUCAUCUCUGAGAAUUUCCACUUGUAUCAUUACAAGAUGAUUAUGACAGCUUCACUAAGCCUCAUUCAUGUGAAUGGAAAAUUAGUGCCAUGAAGAAAAUUUCUAAUAAUUAUUUUCCAAGACAUAUUGGUACUUUUCAAACUUAAACUCAUUAAACUGAUUUGAAUCUCAUUUCAGCAAAUCCAUACCAAGUGUUAUUAAGUUAUUCUCAUACUACUUUUAGGUAAAGAUUUAAUCAGGAAAUAUGUUACUAAAAUCCAUAUGCAUAACCUUAAUAUCAUCACAUAUGUGGCAAUGGUAUAUGUGGAUCUCAAUACUUCCAGAGUAAGUCUCAAAAUAAUUAUAUAGUAAAUUAAAUUAUCAAAAUAAUCAACAAGUAAAUAGUACCCCAGAUACUGUGCUAGUUGUUCUACAUUCAUUAUCUUAUUUAACAUGCACAACCUCCCCAUGAGAAUUUUGUCCACAUUUUACAGAUGUGGUAAUUGAAUGCCAAAGAUGUUAAGAGACUUGUUCAGAGUCACAUAUACAGUGUGUGGCAAGAACCAUUUGCGGAUAUGCUUCAAGAUUCUAAAGUUCUUACUCUUUUAACUUUCACAUGUUAAUUCACAUUUCUAGUACUGGGUCCUCCUUCCAUUGUUUUUUUAACAUAAGAAAAAGAAAGAAAGCAGCUAAUGAUGAGUCUUAUAUAAUAAAAAAGAAGUUCUGAGUUUUCAUAAGUUCUAGUUCAAGAUCUAAAAAUUAAUAAUUUAGGAAUAAUUAGAUUUAUUUUCUCAACUUAUUAUAAGAAAUAUUUGAACAAAUACAUAUGCAGUAACUAAAAUCAAUAUGCAAAAUGCUUUAUGCAAGUCUACAUAGAGAGGCACAGAGAGAGUAAAAUCUCACCGCUCUGAAAAAUUUGGAGGGGUAGCUAUAUGUUCCCAGGGAGAAAUCAAUCUAGAAAGUCUUCUUUUUCUCCAUCCUAUACAAUAAAAGCCUAUAGAAACCCUUGCAAAGGCAGCAGCAAAGUACUUUCUAUCAUACACAAUGUUAUUUAAUAGCAUUUGAUAAGUUAAAUAUCUUAGAUUAUAAAGGGAAAAUGAUUGAAUUCUGUGUAGACAAAUCAGAAAGCUUAUUCUUAAGGGAACAGAUGUUGAGCACUUUGGGGCAGAAAAUCUGGGAACUUUCUACAGGAGUGUUAUUAACUCAGUACUUAUGUUAGAAUAAGCCAGACCUGCUUGUGCCAGUGUGGCACUUGGAAGCCCAUCAUUCAGUUUGGUCAAUAGAUUAAGCACAUUGAAAGAUUUAAAUCAAGUAGAAUGGGAUCAGAUGUGGCCAUACGGAGGCAAAAUUAAUAGGUAACACUCUAUCCUAUGUAACCAUAAGUUUUUCACACAUAGUAACACUCAAUAAAUUGGAUAUACUUCAUUUUAUAUAUGGGUUCAAAUUAUGUCUAAGUAUUCACUUUGUUACCUGUAUAAUAUUCUCAAUGUAUAAGUUGGUGUCUCCCUAACUGGUAUAACAAAUAGACCCAACAUGUGUAAUGACUCAACCAAAACAGACAAUCUGAUGAUGAACUAGAACAUAAUUACAAACAUUCUGAGGUGGGGGUUCUUGAACAGGCAGCUCUCCCCCAUCUCCCGUUGGAUAGGCAGUGAUUCGGGGACCCUAGCCCCUUGCAUCUUGUGGCUCUGCUUGCUCAUGAGCCUCAUUAUUGUUGUCCAGAAGGAGAGAGUAUAGUUAGGGCACAGCAGCUGCUUAAAAGCCUUGUCCCAGAAACUGGACACAUCUUAUCCUCUUAUAGUCCAAUGACUAGCACCAAUACAUGGUCAUAACAACUGCAGAGGAGGCUGGGAGAUGGCGUACAGUUGUGUACAAGUUGGAAAAGGAGAACACAGCUUUCUCAACUGCAUUGUAUAUUAAAUUAUUACAGGAUCUAUAUCUAACAGGGAAGUACCAAACCAACAAGUGUAGCAACUGCAUCAUUGUAUUGAUAGAGUUACUAUGUUGAUAAACACUUUAAAAUAUGUACUGAAAGUCUUCUAACACUUGUGAUAAUGAGUCAAGCCUCAACAUGAACUCUUAAGACAACGCCUUUGUUUUUUUACUGUCAUUUUUGUUUUCCCCAAUUACUUAUUUUUGGCUAAAUUCUAAAUGGGUGAAUUUGAUGAGGUAAAUUUAUUUGUUUGUUUGUUUAUUAGAUCUUAGAUCCUCAAAGGAGAGCUGUUAAAUGUUUCCAAAAUAAUAGGUUCUGAAGAUAAAAUAACAAAGUCCAUUUAUCAGCUUUGUCAAUUUAUCAUUUUCCUAAAGAUGACAAGAGCACUAAUUAAAAAAAAAAAAAAAGCAACAGUCAAUACGUUAUGAACACUAUCUCCACAGGUAACUAUGAUGACUUUAUAAUGGAUAAGAUAUACAUAUCAACGCUGUUAUCUCCUUAUAGUAUCUUCAUUCUUAGAGUUUGACAUGGGAUAUUUUUAAAUGCAAAAUUGUUUGAUAAUGAAAUUGCUUAAUGCUAAUUCAGCACCACUUGUGGGUUGAAAAUAGUUACAAUAUUACAAUAAAUGUGUGAGUUGUUUAUGUAUACACAUAUAUGGAUAUGUAUACAAAUGGAGAUAGAUAAAUAGAUAAGUUGAUAAAUAUGAAGUAUGAAGUAUGAUAAGUAUGAAGUUGCUAUUUCAUACAUAGAUAGAUAGAUAGAGUGUUCUUUAAAGGUUUUAAAUAGUGAAUAUGGUCCCACUUGGUUUAUCCAAUCAAGUAGUGACCAAGGUGAUUAUAUAUGAAAAAUUAGGAGGUUGAGUUUCUAAAAUCCAGCUAUGUUUACUUUUAGACUCAGUUACUUACUAUAAGCAUGACCUUGAGUGAAUUUUAAUCUCACUAAUCUUAGUUUCUUCACCUGUAAAUAGACCUAAUAACCUCUCCUACAUAGGCAUGUUGAAAUUGUCACCAGAGAUAAUGAAUGCCAAGUGCUUAUACUGUGCAUCGUUUGUGUUCCACAUCCAUUAGUCUCAUCCUCAUUCCUUUUUAGUGAUUCUACAUUUAAAAUAUCACCACCACUGCAAUCAGUACCACCACCUUUGCUCUCACAAGACAUUGCUAAAGAGGACCUUUAAUUCAACUGACAAUCAGAUUUUACUUUUAUCCCCGCAAGUUAAAAUCUUGUUAAACUUUCACAUUAAAAAAACCAUAGCAAGGUAUAAAUAAUACUUCUUGCUCUGACUAAAAAUAAUUCUGACACUUUAUAUUCUUUUUGAAAAUUUCAGUCCAAUGUGGUGUGAAAUUCUGGGCUGAAAAUCUGCAUUUCUGGUGAAAAUACUUAUUUAACUUAGUGGCACAGAUAAUACAGAAGAUGGGAAGAAAUUCUGUUUUAUGACAAAAGUUCCUUUGGAGAAGAAGGAGAUCAGGCAUUCUCCAGUACACAGAUGACUCUAAAAUUUCCCAGGUAGUGAAAUACCAACUCUUUCCCAGGUGAUAGCUGAAUUAGCAUGUUAUAAAAGCAUAUGUAUUCCUAUCAUUUUAACUCAGGAGGAAUAGUUCUGCCCUUUCACAUAAAUGACCCUUUUAUCAAAGAGAAAAUUCUCAACUGAAUAAAUCAUAAGCUUGACCACAAAUAAACUCCUGUGGUUUUGUAAUCUAACCCUUAUUUUGUAAUUUGUAAGGCUAAACAAAAUGGUUUAUAUCCUUGAGGAGAAACAUAAUAAAACUGCUCCUUUCUAAAUAAGUAUAACAUCACAAGGUAAAUAUGUACAUUCACAGGAUGGUAAAGUCACUUUCUUAUUUCUGGCUUAUCCAUUUAACCUUUUAAAGCAGAUUGAACUAAAAGUAUGGUCAGUCUUACAGCAAUGCUCACUGAGUUUUAUGGAUACUUCAGAAUCAUUAUUUAAGUCUUGCUUUAAGCUGUAUGAAGUUGCUAUUUUUGUAGGUCAAAGAUGGUCAAACCUUGAUCCUUCUACAUCUUUUAAAAUGGUAUUUCCAAAAUCAAAAUUGAGUAUAAUGGUGAUGAAAUUGUAAAAUCCAAAUAGUUUAGAUAUAUCAAACUUGAGACACAACCAAUAUAUUUUUUUAAUGGUGUUUCAAUUGUCAAUGAACAUUUAGGCAAAAACAGAUCUUUAAUGUGAAACUGGUAGUAGAAUAUCAGUGCUUUAGGGAAAACUGGCCCUUCUAUACAAAUGGAAUUUGAGCAACUGUUGUAAACAAAUUAAGGGUAAUUUAAAAUAUAUAAAUAUCAUUCAGUGCCAAAACUAUGUCAAUCAAAUAAAUUCUAGUUGAUACUAUAUUCUUUAAGAUAUUUUCUAAAUAAGUGUAUUGUGUAUCUUAUAAUUAAUUUAUUUCAUUAUAAAAACAGUUUGUGGAAUACCCUUAGAUUAAAUUGUUAACCAAGUUUUUUUUUUCAACUUGAAAAAAUAUUUUUUGCAAACACCUGUUCCCCAUCUCUACAUUAAGAACAAUUGGAACAAUCUCAGUAACAUUAUUGGGCAUACUGUGAAUUUCUUAUAUAAGGAUGUGCCACUUUUAUUCAAAUUAAAAUGCUACAUUAAGGUAAGAAAAUGCCUUGAUAUACUGACCAAAAAUGUGAGAAAGACAUAGAAAAUCUUUCUAAGAUUUAUGGGCAAAGAUUGAAGAGAAUGGUGCUUACUGCAGUUCUCAGAUUGGUAGAGAUAGAGAGGGGCAAGUCCCUGUAUGGAGGAGAGAAAACUACAGAAGUAUUCAGAUCAUGGGGUUAUUGGUUAGAUCUGUGUUUAAUUCUUGGCCCUGCCAUUUACUAGCCAUUUGAUGAUUGGCACAUUAUUUAACCUAUAUGUAUCAUCAAGUAUAUCAUCUGAUAAAUAGGGCUGAUAAUAAUACAUAAUUACUUAUCUCAGGGUGGUUAUGGGGAUCAGAAUAGAUAAUGCAUGUGAAUUGUCUUGGACAGUGUCUAGCACCUAGGAAAUACUAAAACAUAUUAGUCCUCAUUAGUAUUAUUUAGGAGAGGGCUUUUAGGGCAAGUGUGACUGAUCUGGAGACAAGGAGAAGUGUGCUUGGAUAAAACAAACUCUAGGUCCUGAUUCCAGGCCUCCUUGUAAUUCACCCACAUCUUAGGAGGAGCUUUUAUUUUCCUGAGUGGGAGUAAGCCCUGAAUAGUCUUUUUCUUCCCACUCUCUCCACCUGUUUUGCUAAUAUCUCACCAACCUGCUGAUCCCUCCUUUAGUUGUCUCUUGCUAUUUAGCAAAGUACCACAAACUUGGCAGCUUAAAAAACACACACUUAUUAUCAGAGUUUCCAUAGGUCAGGAUCCUCGGCACAGCCUAGCUGGGUCCUCAGGUAUUCAUAAGGCUACUUGAGAUAUCUUUUUGCGGUGUCCAUUGGGGCUGCAAUGUCACCUGAGGCUACACUGGCAGAAUUCAGUUCCUUGUGGUUGUAGACUAAGUUCCUAGGUAACUCAUAACAUUGCUGUUUGCUUCUUCAAGAGCAGUAGGAGAAUAUCUUUACUGCUUCCAGUCUUUUUUUUUCAGGGGAAGGGCUGAUCAUCUUAUAAAGGGUAGAUUUGAUUAGGUCAAGCCCACCCAGUAUAAUCAGCCUUUGAUUAACUCAAAUUCAAUGGAUUUGUGGCCUUAAAUACAUCUGCAAAAUCCUUUCACCUUUGCCAUCUAACAAAACCUCACCACAGGAGUGGUAUCCCAUCACAUUCAUAGGUCCUGCCCACAUUUAAGAGUGGAUUAUACUGGGCGUUCAUACCAGGGGGCUGGAAUCUUGGGAACCAUAUUCGACUUUUGCCUAUCCUACCUCUAAACUAUUUUAAAUAAAUAAAAGACCUUUCAUUUUGUGAUUGUGGAUGAGAUUUAAAUGCUAAGGCUCAAGGAAGGUAGCAAUAUAAUAUGAUCAAGAUGCAAUUGAAGUAUAGUCGUCAACACAUUCUGAUCAGAAUCUCCUGUUUGAUGUUACAAACUGCAUGAAGAGGAAAAGGAUCCUGGAAGCAUCUGAAGGAUAUUGUCAGUCUGAAAGGAGAGAAAGAAAAACUUUGCCUCUCAUCCAAAGACAAAUUUUCAGUACUUACUACAAAUGUGUUUUGAGUCUAUCCAGUUUACCUUCCAAUGACUUGGGGCAGAGAGAGUGAGCAUGGUGGGGUCCUGAUUAGGCAGCUAGUGAACAGUCAGAUUUACAUUACAUAAUUAUAAAUAUUUUCUUGUUUUUCAUGAUAUAGUAAUUCUUAUAGUGUAAUUAGUUCAGAUUAAAUGAAGCAUCACUACAUUUAUUUAUGGUUUCUUUUAUUUGUUGAAAUGCCUUAAUCAGUUUUAGUCUUUCACAAGCAUGAAAGUAGCUACACAGUUUUAUAAUGUUCUUGAUGAAAACAGUGUAAGUCAACACCUUUCCUCAAACAAGUACACUUAAGUAACCUUUAAGAAAUGACAAUCAAUUAAAAUAUACACACUACUAUAUAUAAAAUAGAUAACCAACCAAGGACCUACUGUAUAGCACUGGGAACUAUACUCAAUAUCUUGUAAAAACCUAUUGUGAAAGACAAUGUAAAAAAAUAACAUAUAUAUAUAUAUAUAUAUAUAUAUAUAUAUAUAUAACUGAAUCACUUUACUGUAUACCUGAAACUAAAACAACAUUGUAAAUCAACUAUAUCAAUAAAAAUUAAAAAAUAAAAGAAUAAAUGAAAAAAUCUUCCCCUUAAAAAAAGACAAUAUGUAAACUUUGGACCAUGAAUAAGAAUUUUUUAUACUAUUUUAAAAUCUUCAGAUGAUACGAUACACUAUACUGUUAGGUCUGUGGUAUAGCUGUGGGAUAAGGGAGACUUGAGUAAGAAACAGAAUGGGGAUGAAGUAAAUUAUCACUAAGUAGAUUCAAUAAAAAGUCAUACCAGAAAUUGAAUUAAAUCAUACCUAAACUUCUACCUUAGAAAUUUAUUUCAUACUCUAUUAAAAUUUUUCCAUUUUUUUAAUGCAUUAAGUGGACUGACAUACAAGUGAAAAUAAGCAAAGACUUUGCAGCCAGAUCUACAGUGGGAUUCUAGUUCUGCCACUAGCUCACUGGAUAGUAUUAGGCAAGUUACUGACCCGCUCCAAGCUUCCAGUUCUUCACGUGUAAAACAAGAAUAAUUGUAUCCAGUUUGCAGGAUUGAGUUAAUGGUAGAAAAAAGAACACAAAAAAGUACACAACAGAGUGCCCAGCAAUAGAAGAGCUAUGGUUAAGUAUUACAGUUACAAGUCUUUAUACUGCCGUUGACAGGCAAGGUUGUUUUACUUAACAAUAUGCUAGAAAUGGCAUUCCUGGAAACCUUUCAUGAAAUUCUAGGGAAUGCAAUAGAUUCAAAAUAAUUCAGUAAAUCAUAGGAGGAGAAAGUGCAUGUUAAUUAUUCAGUUUUAAAACCAUUUAUAUUAUUAUUAUUCUAUGACACUAUUUAAGUAAACUUCCAGCUUCCCUGGUGGCGCAGUGGUUGAGAGUCCGCCUGCUGAUGCAGGGGACACGGGUUCGUGCCCUGGUCUGGGAAGAUCCCACAUGCCGCGGAGCGGCUGGGCCCGUGAGCCAUGGCCGCUGAUCCUGUGCGUCUGGAGCCUGUGCUCCGCAACGGGAGAGGCCACAACAGUGAGAGGCCCACGUACCGCAAAAAAAAAAAAAAAAAAAAAAGCGUUAAGUAAAUUUUCUAGGAAAACAGAGAGUGUAUCUACUUAAUUAAAUAAUUUAUUCAUACUUCCUAACAUCUUAAAAAAAAAAGAAACUAAAUCAGGGUAAUGGAAAAGAUAAAGAACAGAGAACAUAUAAACUAGUAUUUUUGCUGCUAGUGAAAUUCAUAUCUGGCUCUGACUUUCCUGGUGGCCAGGGCAAAAAAGAAGAAAAUGAUACUUUUUAAGAAGUAAAAACUUUUGCUGGUCUUUAAUUCUGAAAAUAUUUUCUCAUACUAUUCUUUAAAUAUGUUACAGCAUUGCCAAAAGAAUUUUUAUUUUUGUAGUUUCUAUUAAAGGUCCUUAGUAGAAAAUUAAAAUAUAAUAUUAAAUAUGACUCAAGGAAGAUUUGCUUAGCUAAUGAGAUCUAAUAAAAGUAUCCCUGUGGAAUCAACCUUAUUCCUUCAUGUUCUAUCUAUAUAUCUUAAAAUGUAAUAGCAAAUAGCCUAUUCAAAGCAGUCAAAGCAAGUUGGAAUUUUAGCCAAUAUAUGGGAAAACACCUGCAUAAUGCAAAUCAGCAUUGUACAAUUACCAUUCCCAGUUGUUAACUGCUGAGAGCAGAGGUUUCAGUGUACAAAAGAUUGUUCUGGAAUCUCAGAGUUAAGAAAACUCAAUUCAAACCCAGCCAGGCCAAGGUAAGUAUAGGCAAGUCAAUUUACUUACUAGGACAACUAUUCACCAAACCUUAAGUGAAGGAAUUGGACUAGACAAGUGCCAGCUUGUUCUAGAACUAUGCCCACAACAAGGCCUGACACAGAGUAUGCACUCCAUAAAUUAAAGUUAAGAAUGAAUCCUGUUCCUCUAUUACAGCAAUGAUCUGAUUUUACCAGUCUGGUGGCUAACAAGGGUUAAUUGAUGUAAGUACUUGGUAUUUCUCAAUUAAAAGAGGGCAGAUGUUAGCAACAAAAACUACAGGUAUAUCUCAAGGUUUCUCAAACUAGGUGCAAUAAUAUUUUGGACUGGAUACUUCUUUGUUGUGGGAGGUUGUCCUGUUCACUGUAGGAUAUUUAGCAGCAUCCCUGGCUUCUGCGCACUAGGUAUAAGUAGCCCUGUUCCUCAAGUCAUGGCAACUAAACUGUCUGGAGACAUUUAGACCUCAUUUGAGAAAAAUUGGCAUAUAUGAACAGGUGUAUGCAUGUGUGUGUGUGUGUGUGUGUGUGUGUGUGUGUGCAGAUAGAUAGUGUUGUAUGUCAGAUAUUUACUUUUAAUGUACCUUGAAUAUAUGGGAUCAAUCAUUUUCAAUUAUUAAUUUUAUGUACUCCAAUGACAUAAUAAAUAAUUAACACAAUUAGCCCAAUGAUCUCUUCUUAUUUUGAAUAUAGUAUGACUGGAGUCUAAAAGAAUCAAGUGUUUUCCAAAAUUAAAGCUAAUGUACUUCAUUCCAUUGCUUAUGGUUCUUGAUGAAAUCAUGCAAACACAAGCAGUCUGAUGUUAUUUUUUUGUUUACAGUAUUACUGUGUUGUUUUGGUUAACAGAAUGAAAAACAGCACUGUAAUACUACAAGUAAAAAUGUUUUAUUCUUAGUUUGUUUCAUCAAUAAAAGCUGACAUUUUUGCAAGGAAGAUGUUAUACUAUUGAAAUUAACUCUUAGUCAAUUGUAAAUAAUUGUAUUAUAUCAGUAUGUUAUCAUGAAGAUUAGAAAUCAUUUCCUACAGAAUCAUGUUUUUGCUUCCUCAGCACUGUUUCAAUUGAAAGGAAUUUGAAUGAAGUGCAUCUCAUUACUAACAUAAAGUAGAUGGAGCUUGAAUAAUUUUUAUAUUUAUUUUCCAUGGAUGGCUAUUACAUUUCUUAUCCUAUCUAUCCAAAUUUUAUAAAAUAAAUUGUUUUAAUCCAUUCUUUGGAGAGGAGCAAUGAAUUUAUUUUUGCAAAAGCUCUGCAUCUGAAUAUAUUGUAAUAUGCAUAAAGCUUUGUUAACACAGUUAUUUAUAUAAAAAGUGUAGCUGCCUUACCUUUUAUUUAAUUUACAUAUUUUAUUUACUUUCUGACAGGUUCUUCUCCUUGCAUUUUUAUUUACAUACCAAAAAUGUCUUUUCAGAUAAGUCAACUAAAACUUUAAUGUACUGUAUAAUUUAAAACUCCAUAAAAUGUUUUAUGUAUUGUAUAGUUUUGUAUGAAUUUUUAACUUGAUAGUAUAGAAUUUUGGAAAUAUUUCAUCAAUUCCUCUACAACACCACCAUAUUUCUUAAAUAGGAUGGGAAAUAGAGUAUUGUCUUUUGUCUGAGAUCAUGUUUAGAAAGAAUUAUAAAACUUAUGCUAAGUCUGUGUGCUUCAAGUAGGAAAGAAAUCACCAGAUAGUUUAAAGGAGUGUAAUUUUUUCUUAAAAUAUUAUUAUGAAUCUCAUAUAAUAUGGGCAUCUCACAUCCUUAAAGAAUUUGGUUCUUUUGUUCUAAGCUAUACAAAAGGUCAUUAUUUUUACAUUUAAAUGUUGGAAACAAUACAUUUCCCUUAUGUGUUUCAUCAGCUGAAACAGUGAAGUAAUAAUGCCAGUGUGUCAAAUCAAAGUCCAGUUUCAGAAAUAUAAACUUAACCCUCACCCUCCCUUCUUCAUAUUUAUCUUUUGUAAGCGUGGUUUGUGUUUGCAUAACCCACCAUUCAUGUUCUUGUGAGCUCAUGAUAUAAAUAAUUUGAAAAAUUUCAUUCAGUUCCCCAAAUUAUUCUAGUCAUUAUGGAUGAUUCAUGAGAGGAUUAAUCUCUUGGAUGUGACAUAAAACUAGAGAGGAAAGACACUACCUAUCAUAUCAUUUGCAGUUAAGAACAUGCUGCAUAUCUUUAAGCUUUACUUAAAGUGCUUAUAGUAAUUGGGUGUGCAUGCCUUCACUCGGUUAAAACCCAAACAGCAAUAUGGGAGAGUGUGGUUUGUUUUUUAAAUGUGCAAGGAAGGAAAAUUAGUGAAAUGUUUAAGUCACAAAACUGCCUCAUUCAGGACCCAAUUCAGCAGCAUGGAAAAAGUAACUCAAGUUAACUGUACUCUUAGCAUAUGUCUAAGCUCAGAAAUUUCAAUUCACUUCAGGUUCCUUUCUUUUCCCAAGGAUCUGCUGGCAAAGAAAAGAGAUCCAAAGAUGGUAAACAGGUUCAAUAGUUCAGUAGCUCUAAGCUCUCUCAAGGUUUUCAGAAUAAAAAUAUGUCCAGUUAAAGAACAAGUUCCUCGUAUUUUGGAACGGGGAUACCCAUACAAAUUGUUUUCUAUUUUAUUAUGGGCCUUUCCUCUUUUCCUGCUCCCUACCCUCUACUGCUACCACCAGCACACACAAAUACACACAUGCAUAUGGAGUUAAAGGUAUAAUGUAUUUUGAUUUUAUCCAUGCAAGGAAAAUUUGGGGGAAGGAGUGAAACUAAGCUAACGAAGAAUAGAUUUAGGUAUUAUACAGAGAUUGUGGUUUAGUGACCUAAAUUGCACCAUAAUCUUUUAAAGGAUUACAGUAUUUAGGGAGAAAAAAUGAUCUCUCUUUCUAUAAUGGCAUCUCUGUGUAAGAGGAUAUUAUAGGAUAUGAGCUGUGUGGUAGCAGCAGAUAUUUUCUCUAUAUCUUUCAGCAAUUCAAAGUAGUUCUCAGAUACAUCUGAGAAGUAGCACUGAAGAAUUAGUCUUCAUUUAUAAUCAAACAUUCUUGAAUAACAUUUUCUUCCAAUUUUUGUUUUAAAGGUCUAACAUUUGAUCGUAUGUUUUCUUUAGUUAACUUUCUAUAUUAUAUGGCAAUCUCUGCAGUUAUUUUUUUCAAAGAUAAAAAAGAAAAAAAGCAUGCUCAAAAUGUAGAAGUUAUUUUUGCAGUAACGUAUGUCAUGAUUUUUAAACAUUCAAGCCUUUAAACUUUUUUUAUAGUGUAUGUUCUUGCCAAUCCCAGCACAGUUCUACAAAGUAAAAUAUUUGGCAGUGAAUUCAUAUUAACAGAUGGAACAAGAAAUUAACACGUUUUUGCUUCGCUAAUUCACAGUUCUUUUAAUACGCUAAUUCUAAAUCACCUGUUCUGACUUUGACAGGCUACAGACACCUGUUUGGGGUAAUAUUCCACAGCUAAUUAUUACAUGAGAAAUUCAGUUUCCAACAAAAGGGUUUCUGUGUGAAAUUGUCAUAGUUAAAAAAUUAGUAAUACCCAAUAUAUACAAAUAUAUUUCUGAUGUCUUAAAUGCAGUUAAUCUACUACUUAUCUUUAACUAAAGGAUGGUGUAUGAAAACUAGAGACUGUCCUCUUAGUGUUUGAAUUCUGUCUAUCACACUUUACACCAUGGUUGCACUGAUCAAGUCAGGAUGUUCUUCCUAGUAGCAGUGAUUUACUGUAAUACUGUAUUUUAAAUGGCAGGAAAAGAGUAUAGAAUUUUCAAGUGGCUGGAAAAAUUCCUAACUGUAUGUUAAAAAUGACUCAGGAGAGUUAAAAAAAUACUGACAAAUGAAAGAGAAAAAAAGAAAAACUUAGCCUGGGUGGUAUAGUGUAUGGAAGACAGACAAUAAAUAAAUAGGAAGUUCACUGAAUUACAGUUUGAAGAAUGACUGACUCACAUGAAGCACCCAGAGGACCAUUGACUGUUUGUCAAAGAAAAGCAAGGUAACGAUGCCAGGAAUUUUAUGGAUAUAAAGUCAAGUGCCUCCCACCUCUUGUAUCUCAACCUCUUAAUGGACAAACUACUUCUAUUUUCCACUAAACCUUGAUUUUCUUUAUUUCUCAUACUGUUCUUCAUUAUUCCAACAGGGUCAUUUCCCUUCUCUCACCUCAGAUGAUAUCCUUUCACAGUAACUCUUUUCAUUUCAAUUUCCUACAAAACCCUGCUACAGGGGAAUGUGGAGGCAAAGAAUGUGUAUGUGUGGCAGGGUAGGUUGGUGGAACAAGAAGCAAAAAUCGGAAACGUAAGGUUUUUUCGAUGUUUGUAACAUAACGACAGAUGCUGAGGUAGUCUGUCUUUAGGUUUGCCAAAGGUUCCAUUUUGUGUGUCUGUUUUUUGAUUCUCUCUAAUUGCUGUUCAGCUUUGUAUAUGGCUUUGCUAAUGUGUCUUCCUUAGCCACAUUUGGGAAAUGGAGAACUUGUUUCUUUAAUUAACCUUUAUAUCCUAGUGCCGUGAGAGCAGAGUUCACCAAGCAGGCGCUCUUGGAACUUUUAAGAUUCAUGUGGUUAUACUCUGAUUUUGAAAAGGUAUUGUAUAAAGCAUAUUUUUUAAAUGCAAUUUUAUUUUGCAAGACUCCAGGUGGAUGAGGAGAGAGCUCGCUUUUUACAUUUAGCCUCCUUAUAAUUUUGUUGUUUUUCUCCCAAUUGCUACUCUAGAAAGCACAUGGUCUUUCUCUAAAAUCAUGCUUUAUGACAUUGCUAUUUGCAGAAAUUUAACUGGCAGCCCACCCCAGGAAGAUAAAAUCCUGUUUCAUCCAAGUUUGGUUCCCCUCCUACACCCACACCUGAAACCGUAUUUCUGCCAGAGCCUACAUUCUGCUAAGGAGGAAACCAAUCUUUUAUAAUACUUUAACAUACGUGAAUUUUAUUUUAUUUUUAAUUAACAAAUUACCUCAUCCAAAAAAUGCUAGAUGACAUUUUAAGCUAGAAAAGAGUUUCCAAAUAACUCACCUUUACAAUUAACUCUUAUCAGAACUAGACAGUUAUUUCACUGCACAGAGCAUAAGCAAAUGGCUGUGACGUACCUUUGAAGUGGAAAGGCCUCCAUCACUACUCAAGCUCUUGGCAAAGUUCAGAAGCACAUUAUCCUACAGGGAGUUGGUCAGGUCUCAAAGUUUGGAAGAGACUUACUGGUACAGAAUUGGAAUAAAAUCAGUUUUUUUUUCAGCUAAUAAGAUGCCUCAAGAAUAAACCAAACUUCCUGGUCUUUAAGAGAGGGGAAAAAAGAUUCUCAGAAGCUUCUCUAUAAAUCUCUUAAAUUUCCCUGAAGAUAGUUACAGAAAUACAUUGCUACCUCUAAAACAACUUGAAUGAAUUAGAUCUAGAUUUUAAUGCAAAAUAUUCAACAUUGGGGCUUCCCUGGUGGCACAGUGGUUGAGAGUCCGCCUGCCGAUGCAGGGGACACGGGUUCGUGCCCCGGUCCGGGAAGAUCCCACAUGCUGCGGAGCAGCUGGGCCCGUGAGCCAUGGCUGCUGAGCCUGCGCGUCCGGAGCCUGUGCUCCGCAACAGGAGAGGCCACAACAGUGAGAGGCCCGCGUACCGCAAAAAAAAAAAAAAAUUCAACAUUUAACAUUUAAAGGAUAAUGACCUUGAAAAAUGUGUUUGAGAUUUAGAUUCAAUGUGAAAUUCUUAAGAAAAUUGUUCAAGGUGAUGAAUGACAUUGCAAUGCAGUUCCAUUCAUCUGUCCUUAGUUAAAACACUUUGACAAGUCAAUUAAUAUGAAAAACUGAUAUCUCUGAUAUGUCCUACUUUAACAUACACGUGCAAUGGGUAAAAUAACUGUGUCAUUUUGCCAUGGACUAAUACAUAUGUAUAUAAUUUUAUUUGUAUGCAUGUAUAUAUGUGUAUACACACACAUACACACAUGUACAUACACCUACAUUUUAGGGAGCUUGUUUAAUCCUUCAGAGAGGAUUGCAGAUUAGAACAGAUUAAAGAGUUAUUGCAGCAACAAUUAUAUUUCACUUAAUCACUUUUCUAAGCAAGUAAAUGUUCAACAUAUCAGAUACUUAAAGGGAAAACUUUAAGUAACUAACAGAUGCCAUUAAUUUAUAGUCACCAUUUAUGUCCUUAUACAUAUUUUAAAUAGUUGCUUAUAUAUAUAUAUACACACACACACACACACACACACACAUAUCUCAAGGUAUUAUAUUUACUAUCUUAUUUAUAGAAUAUAUUUUAGAAAGAGGUAAACUUCAUUUAAAAUUUAAUUAUAUUAAUGUAAUUCAUCCUAAGUCAUUCUAUUAUAUCAUCUAUCUUAGAAGCAUGAUAUUAUUAUUAUAACAAUAGCUUGUCAUUUACUGAGCAGCUAAUGAGCACCAAAUACUCUCCAUAAAUUAUUGCUAAUCCUAGGCUUAUUGUUCCAUUUCACAGAAUAGGUAGCUGGAAUCUAAAGAGGUUAAUAACUUCUCCUCUAGUCUCAGAGCAGUGGCCAAAAUAAAAUCCCAGCCUGGAACUCUGUAAUUGCAAACCCAUUUUUUUCCUCACCACUUGAUACUGGUGAUCAACAUUUGAGUAGCUAGAUAUGUAGAGUUCAGGUUUAGCAGCAACUGUCAUCAAAAACCAAAAAGGUACACACACUGUGAUAGAGUCAAAUGAACUGUCUAAAUAAGAACUUAAAACUAAUCUGCAUAAAAUACCCAAAUGAGCAAAUCACUUUGCCUUAGGAAUCUGCAGGGAUGUUUAUUUAUUCCUGGAAAUAUUGAAGUCUACCAGAUCAUGAUGUCAACUAUCUUAUAUUUUAAAAAUUCAGUUUCCAUGCUGUUUACAAACUAUUCACUGACAUUGCCUGUGCCUUCAAGGAGUAUACAAUUUAGUAAAUUACAAAGUUCAUAACUUGAUUCUUUUAGCUUUACCAUGCUGCUUUAUAUCUCUGUAAAAUAAUAUAUUUUUAUCAGCAAAUUUUCUUUAGAUAUGUUGUCACUUUAAAGGGUUUUCUUUUAAUUUUUAUUCUAAAAUAUAUUUGGCAAAUAUAUUAUACUGGCCUGUUUAAUUAUGACCCAUGAAUAGAUCGUAAUAUUCCUGUGUCAAAGACCACAUAAGUCUUAUUUUCUAGCCUUUAUCACAGUCAUAGGUAUUAUAGUGAAAGUUUAAUAACUCAGUGUUAAAUGAUUAAAUGGAUGGAUGGAUGGAAAAUGUAUUCAUGUAAAUUCUGGCAGAUAAUUGUAUGGCAGUGAAAGUGAGGAGAAAAAGAAUACACACAUAGAAACACACAUAGUUGUAAUCCAGAUGAGAAAAACUGAAGAGCUGAAUGACUUCAUUUAGCAAACCUUUAUUGAAUAUCAGGCACUGAGUUAAACAUGAAGAUAUGAUGUUGAUGGAAAUUAAUAGUAGCUAGCCACAUGGAGUUUACUUGCCAAUGGGAAAGGUACAAAAAUACUUAAAUAAGUGAACAUAGUCAAUAAGAUAAUUGCUUAAUCUGAUUAUUGCUGUAAAGGUAAAAUGUGCAUGAUGACACAAACUCACUCAGGGGAUUUCUUUAGAAAACAGAGACAGGGAAAACUCAGAGGAAGACUUUUGAGUUGGGAUUAAGCAAUGUGAAAGAGGAGGAAAAGAGCAGUCUCCUGAGAGUAGGUGGAAAAUUCCUGAUUGUUAACAAUGAGGACCAAGAGAAGGGAGUCAUGCGUCCUUUAACAGAGUCAGUAGCUGCUCAUUAUGACACACUCUUUGUCUUCCUUACUUAAAUAUACAUGUGGCUCCGAAACACAGCUAAACAUAAGAAUUUCUGGGGUAAUUUUUUAAAAUCUAGAUACCAGGACACUUACUGUAUUGUCAAGUGGUAGGACACACUUUCUGUAUAUUAUAAAAGCUUCCCAGGUGCUUCUGUACAGGAUAGAAAACAACAGCAGCAACACUACGCUCAUCUUGUGGUUUCUACUAACUACAAACCACAGUUACAGAAUAAUACUAACAAACAUUAUAGAAAUAAACACCAAAAAGGACCACUGAAAUCUAUUCUGUUAAAUACUUGUAACCCAGAAAAUGACCACAGUCAUGUUAUACAUACCUGCAUCACCUUAAUCCCCUAAGAAAUAAAUAUAUAUUAAACAUUUAUUUGUAUGUAUCAAGUAAUUUUCAACUCAAAUUGACCCAAAUAGGGUAUGAUUUAAUGAAAAUUCUAACCAUUAGCCUUUCUUCCUAAUUUAGUUAGUAAAUCAAUUAACCAAUAAAUCCAUUCAACAAUCAUCUAAUAAAUGUGGUCCUCAAACAGGCAGCAUUGGGGUGUUCCAGAACUUGUUACAAACGCAGAAUUCCAGGCCACCCCAGACCUAAUCAAUCAGAGUCUAUAUUCUGACAAGUUUCUCAGGUGAUUUGAAUGCACAAUAAAAUUUGGGAGCUUCUUGAACACUAGUUGUAUGCCCAAUCCCAAAAUAUGUGCUAAAGUACACAGAGGCAAUACAAGUUUACCAGGAGUUAACUUUUUCCAGCAGAAUCUAACUAGUUGAAACUGGGAAGAAAAUACCAGUUUUUGGCAACGUUGAUUUGAAUAUGCAUUUGAGUAAAAUUCCUAAGUAAGUUACUGACCCUGAUCCAUGACAUGAGAUUCUCUGAUCAGUUCUGUUUCUAAAUAUGUAAACUCGCUGUACGUGUAAUACAAUCAGUCCAUCAACCUUCAAUAUACAGUCCAAAUUCCACCAUUAUUUUCAGUCUAGAUUAUAGUAAAUCACUUCCCAAUUGUGUCCCUGCUUCCUAUAUUCCUAUUAUAGUGUAUUUUCCAAUAAGUUGUUAAACUCGGUGACUUUUUAAAGACCUUGGGUUUAUUGUUCUCCUCCCAAAUUGAUCUUACAUAAUUACAGCGUAUGUACUUCCCGUGUCUGCUCAUAUGGUAACACCGCAAAUAAAAUUUUCCUGAACACUUCAGUUAAACUAGACUCCUCAUCUCUCUCUUUCUCUCAGUCUCUCUCUGUCUCUGUCUCUGGCUUUGUCUCUCUCUCUCUCUCCCCCACCCCUGACUCUAUCUUACAUUUUUCUUUAUUGUCCUUAUAACUCUCUGUAAGCACAUUAUAUCAUAUUAUCAUAUCAUAUUAUCAACUAGUGUCUUCACACCAAAGUACAAGAUCCAGAAGGCAGGGACUUUGUCUUUCUCUUCCACCAGUGCCUGGAAGAGUACCAUAUAAAUAACAGAGGCUGAAGAAAUAAUUCUUGAGUGAAUGUUGAAUGAAAUUAGCAUUCGAGGAUGUCCACAGUGUGUGAGGCUAUAUAAUUAUCAGAAAUACUUAUUGAGCACCUAAUAUUUGUCACUGUGGUAGACUCUAGAGAAUAGCAUGCAAAAAUAUAUGCCUUCUGAAGACAUAAUGCAAUUGAGUAAUAAAUGAAUGAAAAUAGGGAGGCCUGUAGUACACAAAAUAAGUGUUUCAUGGGUUAAAAGGUGAGUUCAGUGGUGGAAUGUGGAAGAAAGAAGACCAUUUUGAUAAGCAGGUAAUAUGGUGAUGGCAUUUUCAGAAGCAUAAAUGGCGAGCUUUAGAGUUAAGAUAUGUAUGGAACAUUAUUCAUGAAACUGUGAAAGUACCUGUGGAACCCACAGUUAGUUACAAAGAUAACCAGUGACCAGCUAAUGGUGGCUUUAUCUCUGAAAGUAAGGAAUUUGUACUUUAUUCUAUAGACAGGUUUUUUGAGAAAAUAGUCAUGUGUUCAGAAUGAUGGUUUGGGAAUAUUCAUGCAAAGGCAGUGUGCAGGAUGAACUGGAUUGGGAAGAGGCUGCACAGAGAUACGGUUGGCUAAGAGAUUCCCAAUUGUACAUGGAAAGUAGCCUAGGUUAAGAGGUGACAUUGGUAAUACAAUGUAUUAAAUGAGCUAAUAAUACAUAAAUGUUAGAAGAGCACAUAGCAAGGAAAAAUACUAUAUGAGCAAUUGCUAUCAUCUUGUUCAUCACUAUUAUGGCACAUAAAAACACCAAAGAACUUUCGCACAAUAGGAGCUAUGAGGGUACUAAUAUAAGCUGUGUAGAAAAAAGUUCUUCCAGAGACAAGGAUAUUAUCAUUUUCUAGUGAUUUAAGACUCAAAUCAUUGGGCUACAUUUUAGUGCAGCAGUUCUUACCAUUACAAAUCUUAAAAAAGGAAUUUAUUCUCAUCUUCUCAGAAAAAAACCAUAGCCUUGCUUCUUUCAAAUAGUCAACACAAGAGACAAGAGUUUUUCCUCGAUUCCAAAGUGCCUUUUAUUUGUUUGCCAAAUGGGAAACCCCUCAUACACACAAAUCUUUUGUAUUUCAUUGUUUCCACUUUCUAAACAACAGUUUUCUUAACCAAAAAUGAGAAUAUUAAAAUUGACCUGAAAGAUUGUGAUGAGGGUGUAAAUGACAAAGUAUAAGUUAAGACUCAGUCUUCAUGCCGGAGUGGGACCUUAAUAUAAAUAUCUGUUGUCCUUUCUUUCCCACCAGAAUCAAGUAGAGUGCCUUGACAAUGUUAAGGCUCAAUAAUUGCUUAUCAAAUCAGUGAGUGUUGCUUAAUUUGCACUUACUAAGCACUUCACUUUUAAAUCAUUGACCGAUACACUUUCAGAUGUUCAUGUUCAGAAAACCUGCAUGGAAAUAUCUUUUAGUGUUGAAGCUGUAAACUUGACUUUUCUCUCAGUCUCUUCUAAUCCACAACUUUCUCUUUCUUUAUAUGUGUAUGGUUACCUGUUCUCCCCACAGUAUGUAUCCUAAUACUGUAUCUCAUAUCCUGGCCCAAUAUUUGUUUAUUUGCCAUGAUAUAUUUUUGAUACUUUUAGAUUGAUUUCUCUUAUUUCCAUUUUUGUCCCUUUCACUCCCUUCUUGUGUUUCCCAGUGUAUUUUUUUAAUCAGGUCCUAUUUUGUUUUAAAAUUAUAUUUUAAAAAUAUAUUUAUAAAAAUAUAAAUUCCUGUCCCCCUAUUCUGUGUAUCCUAAACCAUUACUCUCUUCUAUAUAUACUUCUUUCCUCCCUCUUUUAUGAAACUUUUUCCCAGUCUGGAAACUUAUUUCCAUCUCUUUGCACAUUUUGUCUGUUGCCCAAGGUAUUGUAUUCCUAAUUGGAUUAGAAAACUCAUCCUUAUAGGACCUUUUAUGUGUUCUGUGCACUCACGGUUUUCUGUAAACAAAAAUAAUAAAUAACAGGUGGGUAGCUAAAUAUAUAACCCACUGGGAAUCAAGUAUUUCAAAGAGGAAGGAAAAGGCUAUGUCAGAAACACUUUACAUAGGUUAUACUGAGUUCAGUAGAAAAGUAAAUGGUGUUCAGCUGUCACUUUUAAUAGACUAAAUCCUGCUAUUGAUUAGCCAAUAAAAAGUAAACAUUUUAAACUUAUCUCAAUUUUUUUUCAGAAAUGUAUUGUAAUAAAUGUUAUUAUAAAUGUGUGUUUUUAUAGCACCAAACAUGAAAUCUCUCUUCUGUCUCAUCUUUACCCCUUCUUAGUAGAUAGAGAGACAGAUGGACCCAGUGAAGGAUAAUUAAAACUGUGUGGGCAAUAACCAAAACUUAGAUGUUUCUAAUAUAAAAUACAAAACCUGGUUAGGAUUCUUUAACUUUAGCAAUUCCCUCUUCCCAUAUACUACCUCCUACCAGAAAAAAGGAGGGGCCAGGAUGCUGGUGGACUGGAGCUGGCUGCAGAGCUGACCAUGUACAGCUCUUCCCAACUCUGCAUUCUGAGAUACCACUUUGUUAGCUUGAAAUGGGCAGUGGGAGUAUUCCCACUAGGAAAAUCAGUGAAUGCUACAAAUAAAGACUUUUCCCCAGAGCCUUCGAUAUACAUUUUUUUUUGACCCCGCCACUCCACUUGUGGGAUCUUAGUUCCCCGACCAGAGAUUGAACCCAUGCCCUCAGCAGUGAAAGCGCGGAGUCCUAACCACUGGAACGCCAGGGAAUCCCCUAUGAUAAACAUAUACUAGCACAGCACUGGGGAAGGGUCUGAAAAUCUGUGGCAAAGAUAUGCUGGAAGUCACUUGACUUCCAGCAUAGUAGGUAAUCCCUGAGAGGGAGCAAUAGGAAGUAAGGAAGACCGUAGAAUCUGACUGGGCUGAGCAGAAGCAGGGGAUUCAGAGAUGAAUCAACAAGAUGCUAUUCUGGGAGAAAAUAUCAGAGCAAAGAGUUAAAGGGGAGACUAGGCAAGGAAAACUGGGGACUAUCUCUGAGCAAAAAAAAAAGAGUUGUGCAUACUUUGUAUUGGACAGUUGCAGUCUUUUGGGGGGAUGGGGCGUUGGGCACUAAAGUGAAUGGAAUGAGACUUUAAACAGAAAGGGAUUUCUAGAGUCAUAAUACAACAGAGGAAGCAAACUCCUGACAAGUAACAGAUUUACCUGGUGAGAGGAGCUUGCUGUAUGUGGGUGCAGCACCAGCUCCCAUAUAAGACCUUUGCACGGGGCUCAAUAGCCUCCACUCCCUGUAGGAGGAAACCACAGCCAGAAACUUGGAUGACAAUGGAUAGCCUGGGUUGCUGGAUGCCUCGCUUGGCUCUGGGGGGCCCAUUACCAUUUUCCUGGAGAAGGACAAAGUCUCAGAAGGAAGAUCUUGUGUACUUAGAUAAGAGGGAAAAAAGCUUCGAAGCAUCCAAACCAGGAUGCUCAGGUUUAUGCAAAAUGUAUAAACGCAUGUUUAGUUUAAGUGCCUCAGUCCAACAUUAAUUCAUGGGAAGUAUAGAUAGGGCCCUUUAGGUUGCAAGUGACAAAAACUCAACUCAAACUUGUGUAAGCAAAGAAGGAAUGGACUGCUUUGUCCCUCUCCUCUUUUGUUGUCUGGGGUUUUUAUUUCUAAACAGGUUUUCUCUUAUAGAGGGUUCACACUGAUGUGCACCUCAGCACACAGGCAAUUAGCGUAGGAGAGAUUGCCUGUUUCCCCUAACUUCUGGCAUAAAAGUCCUGAGAAGACUUCUCAGUGGCCUGGCUGUGUCAUGAUGUGCCUUUCCCUGAACCACUAACUAUAGGCAGAGAAAUGAAAUUUUCUGCUGACCUGGGCUCGGUGCCCAUAUAUGGAAAAGGGCUCGGAUCCCAUGGGCUGAGAGGGGGAAGGGUAUUUUCCCCAAAGGAAGAGGUGUAGAUUGGAUAUAGAGAGACAUGCACUAUGGUUGUCUUCUUAUUAGGGUUACAGUGAACUUACCGGUAUCUUCUAAAAGUAGGUAGAAGCUUAAUCACUCUAUUUAGGACAUUGUUUCUUUUCUAGCUAAGAUUUAUAUGCUCAUUUUCAAUUGCCCUAAACUCUACACCUUCUAAAAUUUCGUUCUCCUGCAUGUGUGCACUGCAGUUUAUUUCUACCGUGUUAUUGGUCUAAUCCCAAAAGGCUACUCAACCCUCUGUUCCAUGCCCCCCCUCCUUUUGGCUUCCAGAUCUGUACCAGGGUUGGGCUCUCUCUGAUGGUUGGUCUCCUAUGCAAUUUUUUUUUUUCUGUCAGACUGAGUGAGGCACUUAGGAGAGGCUAUGUUGCUUCAGCCAAGAAAAUCCAUUGUUCAAGUGACAAGGGACUGCUUUAUUAGCAGAGAGAAGCUAAUAAAUUAACUACCUAAGGUAUUAUUUUUAUUCAUAAAUUUGAAAAUUUGAUCAAUCAAAGAUGAGGUUAUGUGCUCUGUAACUCUGCAUAGCCCACUUUUGUAACUUGUAAAAUGAAUAGUGCAGAAUUGAUGGAAUAGUGAUUAUUUAAUCUAAAAAUGCAGUUAUGAACUUCCUACUAAAUACAACACAAUAAUACAAUAAUAUGAUAGUAAUAUUAUUACUAUUAUUGAAUAAUAGUAAAUAGUCACAAAAGUAAAUAUUUUCAUUUAGAAUUUUGAAGAUCAAAAACGUUUUGCAACUUUCCCAUUUUAAACUUAAAGUUACCUAAUGGGAAAAACGGAAGGUCAGUAUUACUAUGGACAGAAUAACCCAAGGCCUAAACUAAUUAUUGCUGUCACUGAAUUUUUUGUUUACUUUCUGUCUGUGCUUCCCAAUGCUUGUAUGUGGUACUGGAAUAGAGGAGAAGGAGGAAUUCAUUUGUGAAAUGUUUGUUCUGAUAACUGGAAGAAUGGCUAAGGAGAAGGUUUUAUGUCAUUAUAAGUAAACAACAUAUUUCCAUUUGCAAUUAUAUGAAUUUAAUUCCUUAUCUUUUAAUGUUUAUACCUGUAGUUAUUAGUCAACUUAAUCUCUCUUAGACUAAUGGAAAUCAGUUGACUUUGGAAAUAAUAUUUGCUGCCAUAAGAGUAAAGGAUGGUACCCACCUGCUCUUCCCCUGACUGUGCCUCCUAGUUUGCCUGGGACUCUCCUGGUUGAUGCUUGUUUUUUCAGUAUAUUUUUAAUUGUGCCUCCUUGCAUGCUAUAAAAGUAUUUUAGUUCAAAGAAUGUAGAUAGGCUAAGUUUAUGUUACACAUGAGAAUUAUUUUUGCUUUGAAAUGACAGGCUGUUCACCAGAAACAUUGGAAUUGGUUAAUGAAGGGGUCAUAAAAACAGCUUUCUUCAGAAAUCUUUAACAUUGAUGAAGUUAGAUAUGUGCAUCACCCUGAGACAGCUAAGGAAGAGUCUAUGAAUGUAGGAAUUGACUAGUGUUUGAUGAUGGCUCUUGCUCAGCAUGCAAACCUGCAAACAUCUUAGAAAGGAAUGAAAUGUCCAUGAGUGUGAGAAAAUCUAUAUUAAGAUUGGAAAUCAGUCUUACCUCAGAAAUGAGUCACUGUUUUCAUUCUGUUUUAUUAUAAAUUUUAUAGUUUAAAAAAUUCAGGAUCGGCAGAUGAUGGAUCAUAGAUCAAUAAAUUUCAAGUCUUAGGAUUUCCUUAAAAGGUUUUAUAAUUUCCUUUGGAAAGACUGUAUGAAGAGAUAUAAGCAUGGAGGAGAGGCCAAGGCCAUGUGCUAUGUCAUCACAUGCACCUGGGUUUCAAAUCUCAGCUCUACCGCUUAUUAGUUUGGUCUGUGGUUCUUUGCUUUUAAAUUGCAUUAUUAACACCAUGUAUGCAAAAACACACCCACACAUAAAAUUACAGGGAGAACACAGAUUAGCAUUUGAUCACUGCUUUCCUUAGUUAUAACAUCUACUAACGCUAAUAUUUGUCUGUCUUGUAUUUUGUUUUCCUAGCAUAUUUUUUUCUUUCUUUGAAUUAUAACACAACCUGCAUGGACUGGAAAAAUAGUCUGUGGCUUUCUUUCAGUGUUUACAUACUUAAUUCCGGAGGUGAAUUACCUGCUAAAAUGAUUUAUGUUUGUCCUUGAUGGACUGCCACCAAUGUAGAAAGUCUGAGGUACUCUUCAUGGCAGAAAUACUACUUUGUAACCUAAUACUUAUUUGUUUUGCUUUUUAAUGAGGAAAUGCAGGGAGAGUAAAACUGUUAGUUCAGGUUUAAACAUUCACUUGUGCUUUCUCUUCUGUACUGUACAAGCUUAGCUGAGAAAAAUCUAUACAUUUUGGUUUCGAAACGAUAAUCUUACAUUCAGUAUGUAUGCUGGUCCAUUGUGUAAAAAUGAAUUUUUAAGCAAUUUAGCAUUUCAUCAAAGUAACAGGGCACUUGAUUUUCAUUCAUCCAUAUGAAAACAAUUAGAAAAAAAUGCCACUUAUCUUAAAUAGUAUUUGUCAGAUUUUCUUCAUCAAACUUGGUAAAUACAGAUCUCUUGACAUUUUGAUGAAUUUUCAUCACUCUGUGGUAAACCUAAGUGACUAGGCUGUGGCCCGUGAACAGCUUUUGUUUCUAUGUGACAUUAAAAUGUAUUUUUUUUAAAAACAUGAUUAUAAUGAAUAUUCAAAAUUAGAUUCAUUCUCCAGCAUGUGCACAAUAGGUUAGAAGUCGUGGCUGAAGAACACUUACUAGUCAAUCUCAAGGCUUUAUUAUUUCUUAUGAAUCUCAUCUUUUCACAUUGUUCAGAGAUAUGACUAUCAAAGAGGAAAGCCAGCUAAAUAUAUACCAGUUUCAGUUUACCUAGACAACUUUGAAAAUUCAUUUCACAUGUAGUUAAGUGAAAAGUUGGUGUAUCUCCCUAGCUGUAUAUUGUCUCGACUCAAAAUUUCUUGGACCGUAUGUUCAAGACAGCUUGAAACAGACAUUAUAAAUGAGGAAUAAUCAGUUACCAUAGUUCAGAGCAUUUUCUUCAAAUACUCUUCAAUUUCUGGUUCCAGCAGAAUUUUAUUUACUCAAAUAUAAAUCUUUUUUUUUUAAUACUCUAGAGCCUCAUCCUCAACAAAACACCUCAUUUUAGUACAAUUGUUUUUAUAUCCUGUCACAGGGUGAUGAUGAUAAAUGGAAAAUGAUUAAGUAUAUUGUUUGUCAGAUUUCUUCUUUCACAAUUCAAUAAAUAUUCCCAGAGUCCUCCCAUGUCACCUUACUUACAUGAUUAUGAAGUAGAAGAUAUGUUUGAAAUCCAAGGUUGAAAUCUAGUUUUUUAUUUUGGUUGUUCUUCUUUACCAAAAAUAUAAAGUAUGAAUUAAAACUUUGGAUGCUUACAAGCCAAAUUAAUCACUUAGAGACAUUAAAUCCUUUAUUUGGAGACCUUGAGCUGUGUAUACUUACAUAAGAAAAAAUCACUUUGAGUUUCUAAUUCAGUGGGAGGCAUAGCUGUAAUACAGUGCUUUCUUUCAUUUUAGACACACUUUUAAUAUUUAAGUCACUGGUUUCCAAAUACAGUGCACUUAUUCAAUAAAAUUUAUUACAUCUACUAUUACUUAAACAUCAAAAACAAUCACUAAUAAGAAUUGUGACAAAUGAAAAAGAAAACAAAAGCAAAUUCCUUUCCUAAAUAUCAUCCAUACUGACCUUCAUGUUCCUGAAAUUUCCACCUUUUUUUUUUUUUUUACUUUCAUGGUAUUAAAUUAUAAAAGUUCUCAGUCAAAAGGCUAAUUUUAUUAUUUAUUUGUCUGUUUAUUUCUAACUUCCUUGUUUCAGAAUGGUCUUGAAGUUGCUUAUACAUUUAUUAUAUCAAAUACAGUAAGGCAAUAAAUCAGAGAUAUUUAACUAAUGAGAAAACAUCACUGGGGAACUUAUGACAUGAGUGGCCUACAUUAUUUUGGCACUUUACAAUUUUUAAAGUCCUUUUCUCUUUUAAUAUUUUUUGUUUCUAUAUUCUUUCUGUGAUCCUAUGAGUAAGCAAUCCAGAUAUUUGCUUUUCUCUUCUCUAACACCUAUGAAGUAAGCAUUUUUACUUCCAUUUUUAUAAGUGAGGGAAAUGGAAGUUCAGAGAGUUCAAAUACCUUACCCAAAGCCACACAGCUAUGCAUUGACAGACUAGAAUUCAAACUCUUAUCUGCCUGGCUUUACACUACACUGUUAAGAAAGAAUGUUAAACAGCUGUAUAAACUGAACCUCUCUUCUCUGUCUGUUCACCCAGACCUUUCUUAUCUUUUAGAAUCCAGCCUAAAUCUCUUCUUUAGUGGGGCUUUCUCCAACAGUUAGAGCUCAUUUCAAAUAAGCUCUAAUCAAUUUCCUGAGUUAUUGUCCAUGCCAUUCAUUUUGACUUUUAAUCAUAGAUUAUUUUCCAAUAUUAUUCAUGAGUGUAUGCAUUCCUGACUUAUCUCCCCUAUAGUAUUUAAAUGAAAGCAACUUAUCAAUGUGUUUUGUACAAUUAUUUGCUCUAAGUUUGUCCAUGAUUGCUGAAUAAUACAAACUUGUCCUCACCAAUGUUUAAGCAGUAGCUUUACCAUGCUCAGUAAGGUAUGAUAGGCAGAUUCAAAGAGGGCCCCAUGAUCUUUGCCACUGAUAUUACACCCAUGAUAGGUUACAUUAUAGGGCAAAGAUGAUGAUGUCACUACCUCGAUUUGGUUAUGUUUUAUGGUAAUGGUGAACAGAUUGUGCAGAUAUAAUUAAGGUCUUGAAGCAGUUGACUUUAAAUUAAUCAAAAGGAGAUUAUCCUGGGUGGACCUCAUUUAAUGAGGUGAGCCCUCUAAAAGAGGUUUUACAUGUUAGUGAUAAUCUCCAACUAGCCUUGCAGAAGCACACAGCCAUGCGGUGAAUUGUGUAUGGAGAGGAGCCGUCUCUAGGAGCUAGGGGCCUUAGCCCAACAGCCAUAAGAAAGUGAAUUCUGCCAAGCACAACAUGAGCUUGAAAGAGGACUCCUUAGCCUCGGAAGAGAUAGCAACCCCAUCUGACACCUAGAUUAGAACCUGUGCAGUCCUGAAGAGACGACUCAGCCAGCUUGUGUCUGAACUCCUGACCCAUGGGAACUGUGAAAUAAGAAAUGUAUAUUGUUUUGAACUGCUAAGUUGGUGCCAGUUUGUUAGACUGUCAUAGAAAAUAAACACAUUUUUACUAAAAUAAGUACUAAUACUAAUACAUAAAGUAAUGUCUAGUAUACUAUAAAACUUGUCAAUUAUAUAUGUUAUGUAUAUCCACAUAUAUAUCUUACACUGAUUAUUUAUUUACACAUGCACAGAACACAUGCCUAAUUUAGCAGCAACAUCUCUAUCUUAAAGUUUUAAUGACAGAACUUUCACCAAAGUUGUGGAACCACUCUACAAAAUUAUGAAAGAACAUAUUUUAAAGGAAACUGCUUGGUGUUUAAGAAUGAUUCCAGGAGGAAAAAAAAGAAAGUUGACAUUAAACUUUGAAGUUGAGUGUCUAUUUGUCCACGGUAAAAGAGAAGAGUUUAAGUAAACUUUGGCCUACAAGAUCUAUAAAGUAUAAAUAAUGUAAUACAAUGUUAAUAUUUCAAUGCCCCUGCCUAAGAGAUUUUUAUAGAUAUAUUUUUCUACUAUGCUACCAUUUCCCAUCAAAUUUUAGCAUAUAAAUAAAUUUGCAUAAUAGAAAUAAACUCUCAAGUAGCACUGUAUAAGACAAAUAUAUGACAUAUCCAUGGUCAUAUGUGUGUUAAAUUUAUGAGUAUUUCAUAAGUAGCCAUGUAUGAUUCCUAAGUCUCUAUCACUUUAGUUGAGUAAAGUUUCUUUUUCAGGAUCUUGGUGAUAUUGUAUGAGGGCAAAUAAACCUAGUGAUUCAGGCCUUCAGAGUUUUGAAGUAGCAUAUGCACAAUAUUGCUACACUGUUUAUGCAAUUUCAACAUAUUACUCAAAUAGAAUUAUGAUUUUUUUCUAAUUUCAGUUUGUCCUCAAGGUUUCAUUUCUCCAUCAGUGAUAUAUUGGAAAACUCCUAGGCAAUAAAUAAACACAGGAUGAGUUGUAAUUUUCUAUUUCUAAAGUAAUAUGUUUGGUAACUGUCAAUGUCCCCACAUCAAUUUGGAUGUCCAUAGAGAAAGUAUUUAUUUUGCACAUUAAAGAUAAGUAGCCUAAGUUGUAUACAUACUCUUUUAAGUUUUUUUAUGAGGAUGUUCAAGUAACUAUUGCUAAUCUAUGUCACUUUCUCCCUAAAAAUAUCAUUUCUUUGGUUUGAGUUGAAUUUGAUGUCCUCAUUCUGUCCUUAAUUAGAUAUGGAUCUUUGAGUUUAUCAUUUAUUCAUUUAUUUCUGCUCAAUAAGGACAGAAAUUAUAUCUGCAGGAGAGGCUGCUAGGAGGAUCAGAUGUAUAUGAAGUUUUGCUAACUAUGAACCCAGUCAUAAACCAGAGUCGUUUGUCUUUUACAUGAUUCCAGUACAUAACAAACAUAUUUUUCCCCUGAGAAUUACAUGUUAGCAAUAUAGUUUUUCAUUAUGUUCUAUUUUUUUUUUAAUGCAGAAGGCUUUUAAAAAAUAUUUUAUUUAUUUAUUUAUUUAUUUGGCUGUGCCGGGUCUUAGUUGCAGUACGCGGGAUCUCCAUUAUGGCAAGCGGGAUCUACUUCCCUGGCCAGGGAUAGAACCCGGGACCCCUGCAUUGGGAUCGUGGAGUCUUAACCACUGGACCUUCAGGGAAGUCCCCAUUGUGUUCUAUUUCUGUGACUAUUGUGCACUGAUUACCUUUAAGAUCCCUUUGUAAAAGCUCCUCCCCUCCCGCCCCCACCCCCCUCUUCUUCCCAACCUUCCUCUUUUGUAAAAGGAACCAUACCUUCUUGAGGCCAUUAGGGUACCAUGGGCCUAGUUAUCUCUUUUCUGGAACUUAACUAUAAAUAUCUCUUUGCGUGUCUCCUCUGCUAGACUAUCCUCAGAACAGGAACAGUGUCUUGUGCGUUAUUUGUUUUGUCAAAAUCCAGCAGAGUACAUAAUGCAUAGUAAUCACUCAAUAAAAUGGUUUUGAUUUUUCCUUUAAUAAAAUAAUAUAUGAAAAAAUGAGGAAAUAGUGAAAGUCUAAGCAAGGAUUACAUAGACUAGUCUCCCUUCAGUCAUCAAGCUAAACUUUCUGAGAGGAAUACUGUUGAUACUAAAACAACAACAACAAAUACCCUUAAGAAGUACAUGAGGAAAGAGCUUGAAAUGUGUAGCCACUUUAGAAAGGCUAAGACCAUCUUUUGGAGUAAAAAGGGAGAUGACUGGGUAUCUUGAGAGGAAGAUACCCAGUAGAGGUAGAGGAAGGGUUAAUAUCAUUUCUUAAAUCUAACCUCAAGUUUAAAUUGUGAUUCUAAUGUUAAUCAUUAUAAGACAUAAGCUUCACAUCUCAUAAAUUCAGUCAGCCUGUUUCCAUUAUCGAGAGCCAUGUUAAAUAAAGAACAGUUUCACAAAGCAUACAUUUCUAGAAAGUCCUUUCUGUACUUUCUCCAAAUUAUGUUUCUUGUCGUACAAGCUACCUUUCAUGAGCUGUCUGCCACGAAGCCCUAAGAAUAAUAAUGCAGAUGUUUGAGUCAAUAAAUGGUACACUUCUCUUUCAGACAACCUAGUGUAUAAAUAGAAAAUACCCCUCCCCUUCCUUUAUAUAUGCCAUGCGUAGAUCACAAUAUCAAUUCAAACAAAGAAAUGGAUGUUCUAGGAACUGGGCGUACAAAUACAUUAUUUCUUCUCUUUGAAAUGAGUGAAGGAAAGGGAACUAAUAAUAAUGUGACAUUGUUGUCUACUCACUAACGACAGCCUGGAAUAAAUAAAAAAGUCUUCCUUUGGUUGUCCUGAUGGUGAGAUAUAACUGCCUUUCAUAAUGCUAGAGGUACAAAUGUCCUCAUAUUUUAAAAAUGUUUGAUAAGAUCCUUAUCUGUCAUAUAUUUCAGUUGAGGCAUUUUAUGCUUUGUAUUGUAUCUAAUAGGCCUAUUCACAAAUGAAGAGUAUAUGAGGGAAAAGAUGAACAUCACUUCAUAACAAGACAUUGCGAUAAACUCUCCUAAAUUAUGAAAGCUUCCAAAUGCAUAUGGCCUUUUUAUUCAUGGCUUUUUCUAUUCACAUAUCAAAGUGCUUCAAGUGGCUUUGAUGACAUACUUAUGAAUUCAUAAAAGUGUUUUUCAUAAUGUGCUCACCUUUGGUGCUGAGAGGUUAUGCAGAUUGCUUUUAUUUGCUUGGCUGGAAAAGAGGAGCUAAGAGUGUGUUGCAGAUACAUCACACUUUAGAACAAUUUCUUACAUUGUCCUUAGCUACUUUUCACAAACUUGCCGGAACUCUCUACCCAAACUUCAGGCAAUGAUAAGAAUAAAUGUCAAAUAUUAUUAGUUCUGGAGUAUAACUACUAAUUUUGGUUUCGACUGCACAGUACAUAGAAAAACCUUGGAACAUUUCCAGUUAUCUUCACGAUCAUGUAGUCCUUAAAACCCUGAACAGACAUUUAAAAUGAAAAAAAGAAAAAAGUACACCAUCGUAUUGAGGCGGCAGAUGCAAGUUAGCAUUAUCAGAAGAUGAAUACUUGCAGCCUUCACUGGCAACCUGAUCAGAUAUAUUCUGUAUAAUUAAAUAAGGGAGCUGUUUAAAAAAUAAAAUUAUAGCAUCUUGGGGAAUGCUUUGUAAAUAAUGGAGUAAGCAGCAGAGGGGACAGCAAAAAAAGUCCAAAUGUGAUUAGCAGUUGCUCUUCAUGAGAAAUUUUCUCCACCUCUAAUUUGACUUUUCUGAAAAGCUUUAAUGAACACUUUCCUCAGUGAUACCGUUUGUUGUUUUAAAUAUCAUCAUGUAAUCUUUGCGGUGUUAUUACUGUAUGAAGAUGACACACUGACGAACUUUGUAAAAUACCAAGUGGCUCUUGGCAGGACGUGUCUAUACUAACUCAUUUCAGCCCGUCGUGUCCCUGUUACCGAGCUCUUUUGCACAAAUGUUAAGGUUAUCACAAUUCCAGAAAGAAACUGGACUUUAUGAAGGCUUGCUUUCUGAAGAAAAGGACUUGGAAGAAAGCAGGAAAUAUUAGUACAUCGAGCAAAGUGAAAGACAAGGUAGUUUAACUUGUUAGUUUGUUUACUGAUCUCAAAAGUAAAUAUACUGCAGCUGAAAGUGUUCCAUUUUUAUCCGCCUGCUGCAGUAAUGGUUGUGUUACUUCAGGGCUUCUACUUCAAUAAUUGAUCAGGGUUUGUAUAGCACCGGCUAAGAGCAAAAAUAAGAGUGUUGCUUUGAACAAACUGCGGCAAUGUUAUAGCAUUAGGCACAGAAACAAGAUUCGGGAAAUAUAGAAGAAACAGGAAAAAGAUGGAUACGUUGGGUGGUAAACACUGCUUCGGGCUAGAAAGUAAUGAGAAUUUUUCCGUAGAGAGUUUUGACCUGCUAUUCAAAACUUGUUUCUUGUCUUAAUAAAUCCUAAAAGUGUAAUUUACUUGCAAAAGGGAAAGAACAAAGGCACCAAAAUUCUUUUGAUAACAACACUUGUUAAGGUUGAUAAGUUGGGUUUCAAAUGUGUGAAGAAAAAUGUGUGACAGUUUGUUUUAAGGUGACAACCUAAGUGUUCAGAUACUUGCAUCUUUUGCUACUUAUCAAGCAGUAGCCAAGUUGUAGCUUCCACUUGUACAUUUGCAGCAUAGACCAUACCGAAGUAAUAUCAGUUGAAUUCAUGGAGAAAAUAUACUCGUAUUUGUUGGUAAAUUGACAACCACAGAUCUCUAUAAUUUUUCUUAAGGUGGUAAGAAAGGUGGUAAGACUUUUUUCUUUGGUUUUAAUUUGUUUUGCAUUACAAAUAAGGAAACACCAGUCCUUUCAGAAAAUAAUUUUUUUCUGAACAUAGAGUUUUCCAAAGAUGAUAGUUACAUAUUUUCUGCUUUUUCUGAGUUGAAUCUUACAUGACUCACAGGGGUCUCAACUGUUAGAUGCCAACUACUGCAUACAUACGUGUCCAUUCAGCAAAAAUUUGUGUUUGUCUUAUAAGCUAUUUAUGAAUUUUUAGUUUAGCCUUCUUUUUUUUUAAUAAUUUUCUUUCUUUGUUUUUUUUGGGGGGCUGUGUUGGGUCUUCAUUGCUGCGCACGGGCUUUCUCUAGUUGCGGCGAGCAGGGUCUACUCUUCACUGAGGUGUGAGGGCUUCUCAUUGCAGUGGCUUCUCUUGUUGCAGAGCACGGGCUCUAGGCAUGUGGGUUUCAGUAGUUGUGGUAUGUGGGCUCAGUAGUUGUGGUGCACAGGCUUAGUUGCUCCACGGCAUGUGGGAUCUUCCCGGACCAGGGCUUGAACCCGUGUCCCCUGCAUUGGUAGGUGGAUUCUUAACCACUGUGCCACCAGGGAAGUCCCUAGUUUAGGCUUCUUGAUUGUGUGUGUGUGUGUAUAUGUCUGUGUGUGCACACACACGAAAAUCAACUUGAAGAUUAGGAAGCAUGAGGUGGUAAAUUCUAAGUUUAACUUACGAUUCAUGCUAUUAAAAUAACUACUGUAACCUGCUGCUCUGGUGUGGUAAUAGUGAUAAGAUGUAAAGCAAGAUUACCAAAUUUUAAUAACAGUGUAGGAAAGACACUAUGAUGUUAAUAAUAAUGUGAUUUAUUCCAUUAUGAAACACAUUGCCAAGGAGUGAUUAUUUAUUUUAUGCCUAAUUACCAUGGAGGAAAAAAAUUAAACAGUUAUAUAUUUCAUACCAAAGAAUAAGCAAAAAAGGAUCUAAAAUUAUUUGUUCUCAAUUAUAUAGACCCUUCCUGGUAAAAAUGAUAUACCAAAUAAUUGUUUCAGUUCUCUACUUUGCAUGUACAUGUACCACUGUAAUUAAAAGGCAUGUACUGGGUUGAGAAUGUGAAGAUCAAGUUUAGCUUUUUCCACACUGAGUACCUAAAAUGUCCGUAGAGCUCCACAAGCAAAUGAGUUUGGAUAUGCUGAGCUAAAUAAAGAUAAAUAGGCUUUUUUUACUGAAGAAUUUCUCAGGGCUUUAAGGAUUCUAGUGUACACUACAAACCUCCAUGCAGGGCCAGGAAUGCAGUGUUCCCAAGCAGAUCUCAUGAUGAACAUUUUUGUUCAGAACCUCAAGGGACUGGUGAGUCUUGGAACAUACUUUGAGAAAUACUGAUCUUGACCUAUACCAGCACCAACCCUGAUUCGCUGUGCAGUGAGAAAAUCACUUUCUUUGUUCUUCAACUUUCUAAAUUAAAAAAAGUCCACAGAAUUCUCUGUAUAUUUCACAAGAAUUGAAAACCCUCUUGAUAAUUGUUGUCAUAAUAAAAUAUUAUUUAAAAUAAAAAUGACAAAAUGGUUAGAUGCCAAAUCAGAGCAGUUGACUGGACUCUCUAACCAGCUAAACGGUAUAUGUGGGCAAUAGGCACCGUGCAUGCAUGAUUUUGUUUGGGAUUCAGCUAAUUUCUCUGUGGUACACAGUUUGGGGAAUCUCACAGUGAGUUGAUACCAUAAAUAUUAAAGGUUUAAAUGCCAAGGAACUGUUCAAAAUGAUUGGAACGUUUCUUCUACUCAUUCAGGGUACAUUUAGUAUGUCAAGCAGUAACCUAGGAAGUAGGAACAGAGCUGAGAAAUGCAGAAUCUGUAUUUAAGGAGAUACCUAGGCAGGGAAGACAGACCCGAAAGUAAACAAGAACCAUACUUGUUAUCAAACAAUGUGUUAAGGCCUAUGGUGAGGUGGAAACCAUAGAGUCCUGUGGGUGCAUGUGGUAGGGGUUUGGGUAAAUUAUCCAGACUGGGAAAAGCAAAUGGUAAUAUUUGAGCUAGUUCAUGAAGCAAUUGAACAAAUUAUUCAGGCAGAGAAAAUACAUUCCAAAAAGACAGGAUGGCAAGUACACAGGCAUAGGAAAAAUUAUGAUAUGUUUCAUGAUUCAUAUAUAAAGCUCAAGGGGAGGGGAGGGAAGCAGGAAUGGUAAGUGAAAAUAAUGAUAGAGUUUUUAAAUGUUAUGCCAUAGACUUGGAUGUUUUCCUCUGGGUAUUAGAGGAACCACUAAAGGACCUACGUUUAUGAGGGGAAAGAUAGAUGAUAGAGACAGCCACGAAUAGAUGAUGAUAUCUGUGUUUUCUGACAUGUAUGAAUGUGUGAGAGCAUGACUUAGAUUGGGAAUAGAGUUUGGAGAGUUGAAAAUUAUGUAACCUAACAAAGUUUACCCAGGACAGCUUGCCCUUGUUAUGAUAUUUAAAAAUAAAAUAAUUGAUCAUUAUAUGAUUGUAUCCUAUAUCACUGAUUUUCAAAUUAUUUCUAUCCUCUCAAUCCUUCACUCAUGCAUUGUGCAAUAAAGAAAAUGCAGUAAAAAAAAUACCAAGAGAGGAUGGCUUUGUUUGGUUGGUGGGGACAUGGGUAUAGGAGGCCCCAGGGAACAACCCAAGUAGGCCCCUGGGAAUUUAGAAUAAAACCGUGGAACACAGUGAGGCAGAGUUUUAAAAGUACUCUUUUUUUUAAUAUAAAUUUUAUUUAUUUUUUGGCUGCGUUGGGUCUUUGUUGCUGCAGGCAGGCUUUCUCUAGUUGUGGCAAGUGGGGGCUACUCUUCGUCGCGGUGCUCAUGCUUCUCAUUGUGGUGGCUUCUCUUGUUGUGGAGCACAGGCUCUAGGCACAUAAGCUUCAGUAGUUGUGGCGUGCUGGCUCAGUAGUUGUGACUCACGGGCUCGAAAGCUCAGGUUCACUAGUUGUGGCACAUGGCCUUAGUUGCUCUGUGGCAUGUGAGAUCUUCCCAGACCAGGGAUCAAACCCGUGUCCCCUGCAUUGGCAGGCAGAUUCGUAACCACUGUGACACCAGGGAAGUCCCCAAAGUAUUCUUCUAAGUAUUAGAAAAUAACAUGUGUGACAUUCUAACAGCUUAUUUUGUAUUUAAAGAAGACUUUUUGCUUUCUCUUUCAAAUUCUUUUAAAAUUUUGGUUUUCUUUCUUCAUUGCACAAUAUUUAUUAAGAACUUAA